UACGUAGGGGGCAAGCGUUGUCCGGAAUCAUUGGGCGUAAAGCGCGCGUAGGCGGCCCGGUAAGUCCGCUGUAAAAGUCCAGGGCUCAACCCUGGAAAGCCGGUGGAUACUGUCGGGCUAGAGUCCGGAAGAGGCGAGUGGAAUUCCUGGUGUAGCGGUGGAAUGCGCAGAUAUCAGGAGGAACACCGAUGGCGAAGGCAGCUCGCUGGAACGUAACUGACGCUGAGACGCGAAAGCGUGGGGAGCAAACAGG
rnacentral:rRNA from 1 species